UCAGAGUUGACUUCCAGCAGCUAUUGUAGAGGAAGGAAGACAGAAUACUCCAAUGUUACCUCAGAAUACCUGAUGGCUCAAUAACAGGUUCUAUGCAAGCAGAUGAGUGCCACAGCUGUACCUGAGGCACAGACCGCUAAACAUAGUGAAGCCAAUUUCCACGAUGGCAAGCGGGGGCACCGGAGGUGACAACAAUGACAAGGACCUAGGGACCAUCCUUCUGACAAGUUUUAGAACUGAGUAUCUUCAGGAAAAAUGGGCUCCAUAAGAAGUGGCAUCAUCCUCGAACGGAAAGAUUCUCAGGCUGAUGGAGUGAGUGACAGAGUGGGUUGCCAACUAGAGGGACCCCACUCAGCAUGCGGGACGGCCGCAGGGAAUAUAUUCAGACGUGCCCAAAGAAGUUUGCCCAGCGGGAGACACAUACCUUUGAGGUUUCAGUCAGGAAGGAGAGGCUGUUUCUACAGGUGUCAUAGAAAAAUCAAUACUGAGCCACGGAUUAUUGGAUCCCAUAGAACCAUGGAGACUUGGCAGUGAAAUUCUUCCAAAGGCAAACGGUGCUCCUAGGUUUGGAAGUAUAAAUCCCAGGGGAAGUGAGCUGAAGAACAUUUCACACAUCACUCAUCCUAUUAUGAGCCCUGUACUGUUCCAUCUCUCUACAAGACUGGCUGAAAUAACAACAAAAAUUAUUUGUAAUUUGUAUUCUAACUUCGGAUCACCUAGUUAAUACCCUGACUCUGACUACCCAGAAAGAGAAGGUUAUAUAGAAGAAACUAUCUAUUAGAAGUCUGCUGCUGCUUUAUUAAUAAAAUCGCAGGGAAAAUGUGACAUUCUGGAUGUCCCAUCUGAGGAGCGGUUGACUGAUUGUACCCGCCAGCUGGCUAAUAUCAUAAUUAACAAAGUUGCUACUAUAUCUGCAAAGUUUAAUCGAAAAAUUUGCCAGCGAUAUGAUGGCAUUGUCACAAAGAUCACAAGGGACACGGAGUUGACUUUUGCUCAAGGUGGAAUGGCAAAGCCGUAUAGGCAAGAUGAGAAAUCGUGAACUUGUUCAGCCGAAGGUUAUGCUUCAUCUCACCCACCGGGGAGGAUCAUCUCUCAUGAAAACUUUCAAAUUUGAUUUUGAAAAUUAUUCAGAAAAAUUUAAGCCAUGCUAUCUCCCAAUGUAGGAAGGAAUACACUCUGGAGAUUCCUAUAAUUCAAAGAAAACGGACCUGGAUAACAUUCGGGUUCUCAUGCUACCAGAAUCCUCUUGAGAAGGACAGCCAGGGUCAAAACAGGAUUCAUCACCUUGGACAUCAGAGGGCCCCUUCAUUGUCUUGUGGUUACAGCCUUUGCCUGUCCCUCGUGCUAUUUUCAUUUUUGUCACUGGAGUUCAUGGAGACUUAAUCAUCAGCCCUCUAAUUUUCCAGAAAAAAAGGAAAUAUGUUGAUUAUUGAACUGGCUGCAGAAAAGAGAAGAGGAGGAUGAAGAAGAAGAUCAAUCUGACAUUGAGGCUAAUAAUGAACGGCUGGGGAAGGAGGCCAGUGCUACGAGGGUUAUCUCCCAGCCUCAGAUGCUGGAUAAGUCGAAGGAGGCAGAAUCGCUUUUGGAUGACAUUCAGAAAGGCCGGAGUGAUUAUUUGGAAGAGAAAAGCCUGCCUAUUCUUUUCCAAGGUGUGUGACUAUUCCCCCGGCCUGCCCGUCCACUGAUGAAUUAUUAGCGACCUGCCUUAGACAAAGGAUGCGCUCCAGCCCCGCCACACCUAAAGCCACGCUUUGAAGGAUCUGCCAAGCUCACUUUUAAUCAGGAGAAAGAAAUUACCCACAUGGAGUCCGCAGAAAAUGAGAAAGUAGAGCUCGUGCUGCGAAUAAUUCCAGCAAGUGCCAAGGGGCUAGUUGAGGAAUGGCUUCAUGAAGUGAAUAUCUUUAGCUUGUACUUAGGGUUUGGUUAGCGUAUAAUCAUUUUCUCUUUUAGGAGCGUUGACGAUCCUAAGUGUCUUUCCUCACUAAAGAGUGCUCAGAGCAUUCGUCAGGACGUUGACAGAUUUAAUUCCGGCCUCAUCUUUGUUGUUAUUUACUGUGACUCGAUUUACAUUUGCAAAUGUGCAAAAAUCAAUUUUAGGCGGCAAGGCUCUCCGGAGCACGCUGGCUGUUAAUCGCUGUGCGUGUCCGUGUGUCUUGCUGUUGAGUGCCAGUCCUGUACUUCUGUCUGUGUCUCUGUGUGUGUGUGUGUGUGUGUGUGUGUGUGUGUGCCCUUGUUCUUGUCAUCUCUCUGUUGUGCACGUAGGCUGGGGGGUUUGGCCAGCCCGUGCGUUCUCAGAGGUUCUCCCAGGCUUUCCUUUGAUUUUUGGACCAGGAAAAAAAGAACGUGUCACAUCAUGAUUAAUGGUCAAUCUGAAUUUUCAAUUCAUAUGAAGGGAAAAGGGGAGAGGAUAGGAGCCCAGUGAUGAGACCAACCUUUUCCCUUUGGGAAAAGCGUGAUUCAAAUUAAACAUCACUUUCACUGUGAAAUUAGUUUGAAGGCUUCUUCCCCCACCCCCACCCCGGCCCCCCACUGGGCCUGGUUUAACUCCUUAGUGCCUGUUCCUUCGAGCGAACCCUUCCAUCCCCGCUCUGUGCCCAAGUCUGCUCCCGGGAGGCCAUAGCUCCUCUUCUUUUGUCUUAUUUUUCUAAAGACCAGGUCCAAGAAACCAAGAAAAAAGAUUUUGUCUGUUUCACUGUUUUAAAAGCGUCAUGACUCACGAGAUACGAUUUCCCCCAAAACAUGUUAUUUCUUUGUGUCCCAAAAGAAUGUUUCCAAGAAAUCAAAAUAAACAAACAUAAAUAAAUAAGUAAAUAUGUAAAUAA